rnacentral:rRNA from 1 species
ACAGGAUUAGAUACCCUGGUAGUCCACGCUGUAAACGAUGUCGAUUUGAAGGUUGUUCCCUUGAGGAGUGGCUUUCGGAGCUAACGCGUUAAAUCGACCGCCUGGGGAGUACGGCCGCAAGGUUAAAACUCAAAUGAAUUGACGGGGGCCCGCACAAGCGGUGGAGCAUGUGGUUUAAUUCGAUGCAACGCGAAGAACCUUACCUACUCUUGACAUCCAGAGAAUUUAGCAGAGAUGCUUUAGUGCCUUCGGGAACUCUGAGACAGGUGCUGCAUGGCUGUCGUCAGCUCGUGUUGUGAAAUGUUGGGUUAAGUCCCGCAACGAGCGCAACCCUUAUCCUUUGUUGCCAGCACGUAAUGGUGGGAACUCAAAGGAGACUGCCGGUGAUAAACCGGAGGAAGGUGGGGAUGACGUCAAGUCAUCAUGGCCCUUACGAGUAGGGCUACACACGUGCUACAAUGGCGUAUACAAAGAGAAGCGAACUUGCGAGAGUAAGCGGAGCUCAUAAAGUACGUCGUAGUCCGGAUUGGAGUCUGCAACUCGACUCCAUGAAGUCGGAAUCGCUAGUAAUCGUAGAUCAGAAUGCUACGGUGAAUACGUUCCCGGGCCUUGUACACACCGCCCGUCACACCAUGGGAGUGGGUUGCAAAAGAAGUAGGUAGCUUAACCUUCGGGAGGGCGCUUACCACUUUGUGAUUCAUGACUGGGGUGAAGUCGUAACAAGGUAACCA